rnacentral:rRNA from 1 species
CCAGACUCCUACGGGAGGCAGCAGUGGGGGAUAUUGCACAAUGGGGGAAACCCUGAUGCAGCGACGCCGCGUGGGUGAAGAAGCGCCUCGGCGCGUAAAGCCCUGUCAGCAGGGAAGAAAAUGACGGUACCUGAAGAAGAAGCCCCGGCUAACUACGUGCCAGCAGCCGCGGUAAUACGUAGGGGGCAAGCGUUAUCCGGAUUUACUGGGUGUAAAGGGGGCGCAGACGGCAGCGCAAGCCAGGAGUGAAAGCCCGGGGCCCAACCCUGGGACUGCUCUGGAAACUGUAAAGCUGGAGUGCGGGAGGGGCAGGCGGAAUUCCUGGUGUAGCGGUGAAAUGCGUAGAUAUUAGGAGGAACACCAGUGGCGAAGGCGGCUUACUGGACUGUAACUGACGUUGAGGCUCGAAAGCGUGGGGAGCAAACAGGAUUAGAUACCCUGGUA